UACGUAGGGGGCGAGCGUUGUCCGGAUUUAUUGGGCGUAAAGAGCGUGUAGGCGGCCAGGUAGGUCUGCUGUGAAAACUCGAGGCUCAACCUCGAGACGUCGGCGGAAACCAUCUGGCUAGAGUCCGGAAGAGGGGAGUGGAAUUCCUGGUGUAGCGGUGAAAUGCGCAGAUAUCAGGAGGAACACCGGUGGCGAAGGCGGGUCUCUGGGCAACAACUGACGCUGGAGGAGC
rnacentral:rRNA from 1 species